AUAGCGUAUAUUAAAGUUGUUGCAGUUAAAAAGCUCGUAGUUGGAUAUCUGACCUCGCAUAGNACGGCCCGCCCUCGUGGUUGUGUGCUGGAGUGCUGGUCUAUCUUUCGGUUAAUGGCUAUUGAGUUAACCCUCAGUGGUGGUUAUCCGGAUCGUUUACUUUGAAAAAAUUGGAGUGUUCAAAGCAGGCUUAUGCCGUGAACAGUUUAGCAUGGAAUAAUACUAAAGGACAGUCGCGUCUUAUUUUGUUGGUUCUAAGACCGUUGUAAUGAUUGAUAGGGACAGUUGGGGGUGCUGCUAUUCCGCGGCCAGAGGUGAAAUUCUCAGAUUCCCGGAAGAGCAACUUAUGCGAAAGCAUUCACCAAGGAUGUCUUCUCUGAUCAAGAACGAAAGUUGGGGGAUCGAAGACGAUCAGAUACCGUCGUAGUCUCAACCAUGAACUAUGCCGACUAGGGAUUGGGGGACGUUGAAUUAUCCGACUUCCUCAGCACCUUAUGAGAAAUCAAAGUCUUUGGGUUCCGGGGGGAGUAUGGUCGCAAGGCUGAAACU
rnacentral:rRNA from 1 species